rnacentral:rRNA from 1 species
UACGUAGGUGACCAGCGUUGUCCGGAUUCACUGGGUUUAAAGGGUGCGUAGGUGGGCAGGUAAGUCAGUGGUGAAAUCUCCGGGCUUAACCCGGAAACUGCCAUUGAUACUAUCAGUCUUGAAUACCGUGGAGGUAAGCGGAAUAUGUCAUGUAGCGGUGAAAUGCUUAGAUAUGACAUAGAACACCAAUUGCGAAGGCAGCUUACUACCCGAAUAUUGACACUGAGGCACGAAAGCGUGGGGAUCAAACAGG